GAGGUGCACCUGUUCUUCAGCCGGCCGGCAGCCAACCCUCGGCCAGCACUCUCCCGGAGAGACCAAUCCCAGCGCAGCGCGGAGGGCUAGCGGUCUGGCUCCCUCGCUCCAGCCGUCCGCUGCUCCGCGCCGCUGCCGCCGCCGCCCGAGAGUCAAACUCCAGCGAACGGCGCCGCUGUAGCCGCCGCGAGCCAGGGGCUGGGGCGCACCGGGCGCCCGCGGCGGGUGCGGUCUGACCCGCCUCCGAGGGACUCGACAAGCAGGCAGAGGAUCGGAAAUCACGCCCCGGCGCCCUGCCCGGUUGAGCGUGGGGACGAAAGCGGGAGACUGCGUCGGGGGUCCCCGGGGACGCGGACCCCGGGCCGAGGGCGUCUCCAGGCGGGCUCUGGCUGCCAGGCGGGUGGAGAACCAAACGUUACACUGAAGAGACUUCAGAGAGCAGAGGAUGCAUUGAAACAGGAAGCCCCUGGGGUUUAGUGCCUACCAGAGUACUUUGCACACACACGGUUAAUAAAUUAUUUUUGAUGGCAGUAAUGCGGCUGUCACCUCUUUCAGCUAUAACAUUGAGACUUUCCCCAUAGGAAAGCUUUUGAUUUUUAGUUUGAUGGAGCAUGCCUUAAUCUAGUAGUGCUGAAUUAUGGUUCCAAAAAUUGCAAAAAAAAAAAAAAAAAAAAAAAAAGAAAUUAUUUGAAUCCAAAUUCCUUUGGCUUUCCCAUGUAAAGCACUGCCCUCUUAAGUAAAAACUGACCCAGUCUCUACCUUCUGUGGGUGCUAGGACUCUACUUCCCAGCUAGGAAUCUGCUUGCCCAGCCUUUCUUGUGUAGCAAAUAAAAGCUUUCCUGCAAAACUCUUCGGAAUUAUAGCAGGUGCUACUGUCAGCUAUUUAAGACAGAAAAUUACUUUUCCAAAGCACUGCUAGUUCAUUGCCCACCCCCACCACUGCCAGGAUUCCUGUGGUCUCUCCCAUUUUUUCUGCCUGGUAGAGUAAAUCCAGUGUACAGGAAGGGAUGCUAUAAUGCUGCAGCUGGGCAAAUGCGGGCAAAUGUUCCCUUUCCUGAAGCCACAGUCUGACAGCAUUCACUCCAUGUUCUCUCAAUACUCCCUAAUGCCUUCUUCAUCUGCCUCUCCAAAUUCCCUCUACUUCUCAUUUCCACUUGGCUUUAACAGCUUAUUCAUGUAUCCCUGUUGAGCUCAUUUUGCCCCAGAUCCCAAGCCACCGUACUCAGCUACCCAUUGGUUGUUCUCACAGUGAACAUCAUCACUAGAGAGAGAGAGAAAAAAAAAAUCAAAACAUUGCUUUGAUAGCCUUGUAUUGGGGAACAGGUUGUACCACCCUAUCCAAGAAUGUUUGGCUGGUGCAACCAUCAUUAACUUGCAAUUUUAUUGUGAGGCUCCCUGGUAGCAGGUGGUAAGCACUGGCACUGGAAGUGAGAAUGGGGAGGGGGCUGUCCACAGUUGUGUCAAGGACAAGUGGUGAACCUUCUCACUGCUAAUAAGCAGCCAGUUCACCAGUCCCAUGGUAGGGAGGAGCCUCGUUCUGGUGACUCACAGCUCACUGGAGCAGAACGCUGAAGAAGCAGCUUCAGGCUCAGACUCUUACGAUCGGGAUUCAAGUUAGAGCUCUGCCACUUAUAAGCAAUAAAAUCACUCUGGGCCACUGUUUUCUCAACUGUGAAAUGGAGGUAUAAUGCCUACAUCCUACGUAAUUAUAUGAAAUUGUAUAGCUAAAUGGGCUAUUCACCUAUGGUACCAUUUAAGCCUUAUCCUCGGAUAUCUUCCUGUGGAGAUAAUUAUUCUAACAAAUGGAUGUGGCAUGCCUCAGCCUCUCCUGAGCUUCCCAUCUGCCUGACUAUAAUUACCUGUAGAUAUCUCCUAUGUGGUCUACGGACACACUAAACUUGGGAUUUCUAAUCAUUGCCUAAAGUUUGACACCAAUCAGCAUUUCUCUUGAAAUGCAGUUUUCCCCUCAAUGGCACCAAUAACCCCAGGCUGAGAGUCUCAGUGCGGUCUCUGACUCCUUACCCCCCCCAUUUCCCAAGUUCAAUUAGUUGUCAAGUCAUUUACUUUCCACAGUAUGAUUGUCCAGGGCUUCCUCCAUUGCAAAGUCUUUGGUAAAGGCUCAUCUUUUGAAACCACAAGGCUGUAAAUGACCUUAGUGGUCAAACACCUCUGAUGUGUCAUCUCAUCACAUGUCCCAGCUGUUGGGUUUCUUCCGGCUCUCUGGAGAAAGGCACUUCCUGGGGAAGACCACCCAGCCUGUCAGUGUACAUAAUUAGAAAAGUCUUUGUGUUGAGACAAAAGUCGGCCUUCCCAUACAUUCACUCUUUCUCCUUAGCUCAUUCUUUAUAGAAACCUUUUACAAAUUAGGUACUAGGCACAGAGAAUAUAACAGAGAACACAGGUAAGGCUCCUACCUUCAUGGAGCUUAUAUUUUAGACUAACGAUGAACAAACACAGUAGAUAAAUUUUAUAGUCUAUCAAAAAAUGAAAAGUACAGGUUUGGACCACCAAGAACAUGCCUAGUUAGUGUAAUUACAAAGGACAUCUCUUCUCCAAUCCAAGAUCCUCAAUCUGUUUCCCAUCCCCACAAGGCCAUGAGAACUUGACUCUCCUAGCAACAUGACACCAGAGUGCUCUUUUAUUCCCUGUGGGUUCCCUGGCUAGUGUACUCACUUUUGAAGCCAGUCUGGCCUGCAAAAUCCUAAUAUUCUUCAUGAUGUUUACUGGAAUCAUGUCUAGAGGCAAUGUGGUUCCCGAACACAUUUCACAGAGUAAACAUUUUGCAAAGCAUGAAUAAGGCUAACCUUCCAUAUGACUGCAUAUGUCCUUUUUCUCCCUUGGUCUAGUCCACUACUGUGAUUAUAAUGAUACAUAUUUUUUUAGUAAUCAUGGUGGCCUUUGUAAAAUAAAAGUUGAUUGUUUUCUUCACGAGUCUCAACCAGUAAUCUUAUUUCUUGGGGGUUCUUGAUGCUGUAUGUGUAGGACCAAAAAUCCAAAAAUCUGGAAAAUCCCCACGUGGAUCACGUUAUUCAUAACAGCUUGACUCCCAAGCAUUUCUGCAUUAAAACCAAUAUCAUAAAUAAAUGAAUAAUAAAAUACAAAAAGUAUACAGAGCAAAAUCUGAAAGUGGAAAGUGAAGAAUUCCAGUUCUAACCAUAUGGAAGUCACAAAAAAGAUGAUUGUAACAAUCUUCAAAGACUUAAGGUAUUUGGAAUGUUACCAAAUUGCACUAUCAUAAAUUAGAAAAUGCUGACUACUGUAUAACAGGAUGUGGAAUUAGAAGUUUUUAAUAAGGCACUAAGGAAAAAAAUAGAUGUGAAUUUUUAGUGGGAGUUGCCAGAAAACAAUACCCAAAUUUCAAAAUAGGUUAACUAUGAACUGGAUAGGUAGCACAACAAAAUGUAGAUUGGGGGAGAAUUUUUUUUGAGACAACGUCUUGCUCUGUUGCCCAGGCUGGAGUGCAGUGGCAUGAUCUCGGCUCACUGCAACCUCGCCUCCCAGGCUCAAGUGAUUCUCCUGCCUCAGACUCCCAAGUAGCUGGGAUUACAGAUGCCCACCACCACGCCUGGGUAGUUUUUGUAUUUUUAGUAGAGACAGGGUUUCACCAUGUUGGUCAGGCUGGUCUCAAACUCCUGACCUCAGGUGAUCUGCCAAACUCAGCCUCCCAGAGUGCUAGGAUUACAAGUGUGAGUCACUGUGCCCAGCCCAGGGAGAAUUUCUGUGAAGAGGGUACCUUUAGCAGAAGUUGUGCUUGAGUUCAGUGGGGGAGGAACGCAAGUACAGCGUUCAAGUACAGAUAUGUAUCACUUAACAACAAGGAUAUGUUCUAAGAAAUGUGUCAUUAGGAGAUUUUGUUAUUGUGUGACAUUGUAGUGUAUACUUAGAGAAAACUCUAUGGUAUAGCCAUCUACACACCUAGGCUAUGGGGUGUGGUCUGUUGCUCCUAGGUUAUACCUGUAGAGUAUGUUACUAUAUUGACUAUUGCAGGCAAUUGUAACACAAUGGUAUUUGUGUAUAUAAACAUAGCUAAGCAUAGAAAAGGUAUAGUCAAACUAUGACAUUAUAAUCUUAGGGAACCACCACUAUAUGUGUGAUCCAUCAUUGACUGGACCGUCCUUAUGCACUGCAUGACUCUAUGGUGAGAGGGGACACAAAAGAGAAUCCUGGAGAGCUCAAUCUGGGCCUCUUAGUGUUUGAAUGAGCCUCAUUGGAUUGGGACACAAGCCUCAGGAAUAUCAAAUCAAGGAGAUAGGUUAAUUGGGCUGUGGCAGCAGCAGACAAUUUAAGCAUUUGUCAGAAGGCACGAAGAUAGAGCCCAGGUUGAAUGUUGGGUGAGUGUAGAGGAGAGGAGCAUUAGUCGAAAAUGAGCUGGAAAGUCAGUGGU
rnacentral:lncRNA from 1 species